AAUAUUGGCCACCAUCUGAAGGGAAGUAACUUUGUUUAAUGUUCAGUUUUAUUUUCUAUUUUUUUAACAUACGACCGUAAUAAAAAAAUACUUUAUAUAUAAAGUGUGAUUUUUUUUUUGCAAUACAAAUUUUGUUAGAAUACUACGAAAAGCAUGUGACUCUUUCCGAGUUAUAUGUACUUAACUAAGAUCAUUAAGACACCACUGACAAAUGGUGAAGGAAAACAUCAUGAGGAAACCUGGGCUUAUUAUUUUCUAAUUACCUAUUAUAAGUUUGAAAUCGACAACCCGCAUUUGGCAAGCGUGGUGAUCAAUGCUCAAACUUUCUCCAGGCCUUUGGUCAGCAGUGGCCACUUAUAGGCUAUUGAUGAUGAUGAUAGAUAGAUAGAUACUACUUCUUUUUCAGUCCAGUUUCAGUUUGCUGCGCCCGAUGUGACUUGAAACUAGUACACCUUUUCUACAUUAGUUCAUCAGAGGACGCUGCUUACUUCAAAUACAUGUAUACUUACUUUAUUAUUCUGUGUACUAACAAACCUAAAACCUUCAAUUAUUAUCUCUUUAAAAUUAUAGUUCAGAAAAGAAAAAAAAUAUAUAUUUACAGUUUUACAAGGAAAGAUGUUUAUUCCUAUAGAAAUCUGAUAAAAUAUUAUAAUGUAUACGAGUAUUAAAAUGUGUUGAACAUUUGAAUUAUAUCGAUAAGUAAGCUUUCGAUAUCGGAACAUCACUAGAGAAAAUACAAGCGAUAAAGUAGCUCGUUAAACAAAUGUCAACCUUAAAAUGAUAGCAAUACAGCGUAAUUGAAUGCAUUUAUGAUAGUGACAUCUAGCGUCGAGUAGCAGAACUUGUUAGUGAAAUUAUGUUGCAUUGAAAAAGAAGAUUCUUUAUUUUAAAAUUAGUAGACAAGAGUCAACUCUAUUAAUAUGUAAUUAAUGUGUUUUUUUCAAAGUGGUGACGGCUGAUUUAAAGGCUAUUUAACACGGACCAGUCACAGAAAGUUUUUGCUAUUAUGACAUAUUAUGAUUAUCCUGGAGAUGUGUUAAUUUGGGCGUGGCUUCAGAAAAAUUGCCACGCUGGUUCUGAUACUAACACAUGCGGUAUACUAUUUCUAUCUCUUCUUCUCUAUUCUGUGGGUAUAACCAUGGAUAAAAGAAAGAGACUGGAUUGGCCUUGUGGGCGGGCCACGCGUGCCGAGGGUGCGAGCCGGCGUACUGCGCGCUGUCAUAACGCUCAAAUGUCCAUACUUACCGGCUAGCAAUCGCUGUCAUGUUUUGACAGCGUACGUAUCUCCGCAAAAAUAUUAUAUUAUGCCGUCUUGCGCUAUUAUAACGUGUCGGAAAAGAAACCAGGUGUGUAGCAUAGCACGAGAAGGAAUUUCUUUUCACCGGUUUCCAACAGAUCCAGGUGUAACAAAAUUGUGGAUUGACACAACUGGUAGAAUUAAUUUUUUUUUUCAAAUUCCACCACACAGAUUAGAAACUGCGUAUAUUUUUAUCUCCACCAUAUUUAUACAGACAUUGGUCUUAAAAACUAAGCUUAUAUAAUAAUUAAUAGUAUAAUAAAUUAUGUAGCAAGUUACACGACCAGGUUUAAAACAAUUGAAAUGACAAGUGGUGGGAUUCAGGAACCCAAACUAGGAAAACCUGUACUAUGGGCUCCUGGAUUCCUACUAAAUGUAGCAUAUUUCGUUCGCAACAUUUCGAUGUUGAUAAUUACAUAAUAACAAAGUCAGGGAAAAGAAACUUAAAAUUAGGCGUUUAUCCGCACAAUAUCGCAAUGUGUAAUUCAGUAAGUAAACUGAUUUUAUUUUAGAAAAUUUUAAAUUAGUCUCUUUAAAUCAGUUUUUUUGUCUAAAAAUGGCGAUAUUUAAAAUAUCAUAUUUCGUAAAUUUAAAAAAUGAAAUAAUAUAACCAUGUUAUUUCAAUGUGUUCUGUACUUUAUACAGAUUAUUGUAAAUGUGAGAGCCCUGUAAUUAGCUAAAUUAGACUAGUAGAAUGCAUUUGUGUCAGCUUAGAGUUGUCAUGCUCACUCAAAGGUCUCACUGGCGGUGGCACGGGCAUUGGAUCGUUCGAUUCCCUGCAACAUGGUUGAGUUGGACGGUGCUGGUGUACGUGCCAUGUUGGUGAACCAGCGCUGUCAACUGGGACUGGUCAGCUCCAGACUGUAUUAAUUUUGUUGUUCUUAAGGUUUUUUUCUAUCGCUUUGACUGAAUAUUAGUUUUACAUUGUUCUCACAUAGUUCAAGCAAUCGAUGCAAAGAAAAGCAAUGUUAUCAAGAAUUGUAUUGUGAAUCUAAUUGAAAAAGAUCGAACGAACAGAUCUUCGAUCUUCUCCAUAGGAAUCUACACUUUGGAACGAGCAAAUAGCUUCACUAGAGGGCUGACCGACAGACAGACGUUAUUAAUAUUAUUAUAUUUACUUUGACGUUCAAAAGUGCCUAUGAUUUAUUUAUUUUUUACUGAUUUUUAACUUAUUGAGUAAUAAAAUUGGUUUUAAAAUUCA